CUCUAGGGGAACGAGACAGGGCUGCCCUCUGUCCCCUGUGCUCUUUGACAUUGCCAUCAAACCUCUUGCAACCAUAUUAAUGAACUCCGAUGGCUUGCAAGGAAUUUUUAGGGGACAAGAACAUAAGGUCCUGCUAUAUGCGGAUGAUCUUCUUCUUUUUCUGUUAAAUCCAGAUACAUGUAUUCCAAAAGCUCUUACAAUAAUUUCAGAAUUAACUAUUAUGAUAAAUAGAAAGUUGAGAAAAAAGGGAAUUGUGAUCAAUGUGACAUAUGCAAAUGGAAAGUACUAAGCCAACACCAUCAAAGUAAUAGCAGAUAUCUUCUAUAAGAAUACUGUAGGUCAAACAUCAUUAGCUCAGUUCAACCUUAUUUUAAUAUAUUGUUUUUGUUUAUUUUAGCACUAGUGCUCAAGCAUGCUUUACAAACAUAAAGAGAACAAGAAAAAUUAUAACCUUAAGAAGGUAGUGAAAAUGGGAGACUAAUAAUACAUAAAAUAAUGACAAAAGACAUGAGAACAAGUGACGAAAGAAACUCAUUCCUGUCUUUCAAUGAGUGCUUAUGUGCAUUUAGGAGAACUAGGCAGCAUACUCAGGGCUGCAAGAUGGAUUUAAUUUAGUAUUCUUAUUAUUAAAAUAUAUCUGAAUGAGGAUCAAAUGACUGAGUUGGUGUUAGAGAAUGAAAUCUGACCUGUUUGUUCCUGCAGAUCUUCUUGUUUGACUGAAUGUUUCUUCAAUCUUCACAUCUUCACUCUCCUCUUUAAUAAACGCCAUCUUUAUACCAGUGUGGAGAUCAGUCGCUUCAGCAGGAGUUUUUCUGUUUAGACACUUUAUCCU
ensembl:processed_transcript